rnacentral:lncRNA from 1 species
UGGGGGUUCCCUGCUCAUUGGGGGAAUCUCUGAAUCGAAUCGAACGAGAACAGUCGGGUGGAAGUCGAAGACCGGGAAGACUUCCACCGACUGAAAGACAUCUCAGUGCCGAGCAGAGGGAACUCGUCACUGAGCAGGCACUGUACGACGUCGGUCUCAGCCCGAUCCCUCGCUUAGGUCGGUUUUUCAUUUUUCUUCCCCUUCCUUCUU